rnacentral:rRNA from 1 species
UACGAAGGGGGCUAGCGUUGUUCGGAAUUACUGGGCGUAAAGCGCGCGUAGGCGGAUCACUAAGUCAGGGGUGAAAUCCCGAGGCUUAACCUCGGAACUGCCUUUGAUACUGGUGAUCUGGAGAUCGGGAGAGGUUGGUGGAAUUCCGAGUGUAGAGGUGAAAUUCGUAGAUAUUCGGAGGAACACCAGAAGCGAAGGCGGCCAACUGGCCCGAUACUGACGCUGAGGCGCGAAAGCGUGGGGAGCAAACAGG